AAGGCCCUUCGGGGUACUCGAGUGGCGAACGGGUGAGUAACACGUGGGUGAUCUGCCCUGCACUUUGGGAUAAGCCUGGGAAACUGGGUCUAAUACCGAAUAUGACCAUGCUCUUCAUGGAGUGUGGUGGAAAGCUUUUGCGGUGUGGGAUGGGCCCGCGGCCUAUCAGCUUGUUGGUGGGGUAAUGGCCUACCAAGGCGACGACGGGUAGCCGGCCUGAGAGGGUGACCGGCCACACUGGGACUGAGAUACGGCCCAGACUCCUACGGGAGGCAGCAGUGGGGAAUAUUGCACAAUGGGCGCAAGCCUGAUGCAGCGACGCCGCGUGAGGGAUGACGGCCUUCGGGUUGUAAACCUCUUUCAAUAGGGACGAAGCGCAAGUGACGGUACCUAUAGAAGAAGGACCGGCCAACUACGUGCCAGCAGCCGCGGUAAUACGUAGGGUCCGAGCGUUGUCCGGAAUUACUGGGCGUAAAGAGCUCGUAGGUGGUUUGUCACGUUGUUCGUGAAAACUCACAGCUUAACUGUGGGCGUGCGGGCGAUACGGGCAGACUAGAGUACUGCAGGGGAGACUGGAAUUCCUGGUGUAGCGGUGGAAUGCGCAGAUAUCAGGAGGAACACCGGUGGCGAAGGCGGGUCUCUGGGCAGUAACUGACGCUGAGGAGCGAAAGCGUGGGGAGCGAACAGGAUUAGAUACCCUGGUAGUCCACGCCGUAAACGGUGGGUACUAGGUGUGGGUUUCCUUCCUUGGGAUCCGUGCCGUAGCUAACGCAUUAAGUACCCCGCCUGGGGAGUACGGCCGCAAGGCUAAAACUCAAAGAAAUUGACGGGGGCCCGCACAAGCGGCGGAGCAUGUGGAUUAAUUCGAUGCAACGCGAAGAACCUUACCUGGGUUUGACAUGCACAGGACGCCAGUAGAGAUAUUGGGUUCCCUUU
rnacentral:rRNA from 1 species